rnacentral:rRNA from 1 species
AGAGUUUGAUCCUGGCUCAGAACGAACGCUGGCGGCGUGCUUAACACAUGCAAGUCGAACGGGGUUAUACGGAGAAAUUGGUUUCGGCUGGUGGAUUUGUAUAACUUAGUGGCGGACGGGUGAGGAACACGUAGGUAACCAAUCCUGAAGCGGGGGACAACUGCGGGAAACCGGAGCUAAUACCGCAUAAGACCACAGGCUGGAAGGCUGGUGGUAAAAGGAGCAAUUCACUUCAGGCUGGGCCUGCGGCCUAUCAGGUAGUUGGUGGGGUAAGAGCCUACCAAGCCAGAGACGGGUAGCCGGACUGAGAGGUUGAACGGCCACACUGGAACUGAGACACGGUCCAGACUCCUACGGGAGGCAGCAGUGGGGAAUUUUGCGCAAUGGGGGAAACCCUGACGCAGCGACGCCGCGUGGAGGAUGAAGGUUUUCGGAUUGUAAACUCCUGCUGCUCGGGACGAAUGGCUCCGACCUAAUACGUCGGAGUGUGACGGUACCGGGUGAGGAAGCCCCGGCUAACUCUGUGCCAGCAGCCG